GACGAACGCUGGCGGCGUGCCUAAUACAUGCAAGUAGAACGCUGAAGAGAGGAGCUUGCUCUUCUUGGAUGAGUUGCGAACGGGUGAGUAACGCGUAGGUAACCUGCCUUGUAGCGGGGGAUAACUAUUGGAAACGAUAGCUAAUACCGCAUAACAAUGGAUGACACAUGUCAUUUAUUUGAAAGGGGCAAUUGCUCCACUACAAGAUGGACCUGCGUUGUAUUAGCUAGUAGGUGAGGUAACGGCUCACCUAGGCGACGAUACAUAGCCGACCUGAGAGGGUGAUCGGUCACACUGGGACUGAGACACGGCCCAGACUCCUACGGGAGGCAGCAGUAGGGAAUCUUCGGCAAUGGGGGCAACCCUGACCGAGCAACGCCGCGUGAGUGAAGAAGGUUUUCGGAUCGUAAAGCUCUGUUGUAAGUCAAGAACGAGUGUGAGAGUGGAAAGUUCACACUGUGACGGUAGCUUACCAGAAAGGGACGGCUAACUACGUGCCAGCAGCCGCGGUAAUACGUAGGUCCCGAGCGUUGUCCGGAUUUAUUGGGCGUAAAGCGAGCGCAGGCGGUUUGAUAAGUCUGAAGUUAAAGGCUGUGGCUCAACCAUAGUUCGCUUUGGAAACUGUCAAACUUGAGUGCGGAAGGGGAGAGUGGAAUUCCAUGUGUAGCGGUGAAAUGCGUAGAUAUAUGGAGGAACACCGGUGGCGAAAGCGGCUCUCUGGUCUGUAACUGACGCUGAGGCUCGAAAGCGUGGGGAGCGAACAGGAUUAGAUACCCUGGUAGUCCACGCCGUAAACGAUGAGUGCUAGGUGUUGGAUCCUUUCCGGGAUUCAGUGCCGCAGCUAACGCAUUAAGCACUCCGCCUGGGGAGUACGACCGCAAGGUUGAAACUCAAAGGAAUUGACGGGGGCCCGCACAAGCGGUGGAGCAUGUGGUUUAAUUCGAAGCAACGCGAAGAACCUUACCAGGUCUUGACAUCCCGAUGCUAUUUCUAGAGAUAGAAAGUUACCUCGGUACAUCGGUGACAGGUGGUGCAUGGUUGUCGUCAGCUCGUGUCGUGAGAUGUUGGGUUAAGUCCCGCAACGAGCGCAACCCCUAUUGUUAGUUGCCAUCAUUCAGUUGGGCACUCUAGCGAGACUGCCGGUAAUAAACCGGAGGAAGGUGGGGAUGACGUCAAAUCAUCAUGCCCCUUAUGACCUGGGCUACACACGUGCUACAAUGGUUGGUACAACGAGUUGCGAGUCGGUGACGGCAAGCUAAUCUCUUAAAGCCAAUCUCAGUUCGGAUUGUAGGCUGCAACUCGCCUACAUGAAGUCGGAAUCGCUAGUAAUCGCGGAUCAGCACGCCGCGGUGAAUACGUUCCCGGGCCU
rnacentral:rRNA from 1 species